CCUACGGGAGGCUGCAGUAGGGAAUAUUGCUCAAUGGGGGAAACCCUGAAGCAGCAACGCCGCGUGGAGGAUGAAGGUUUUAGGAUUGUAAAGUCCUGUUGGUAGAGAAGAAGAUGACGGUAUCUAACGAAUAAGCACCGGCUAACUCCGUGCCAGCAGCCGCGGUAAUACGGAGGGUGCAAGCGUUAAUCGGAAUCACUGGGCGUAAAGGGUGCGUAGGCGGGGGUAGAAGGCAGCUGUGAAAUCCUGUAGCUCAACUACAGGACUGCAUUUGAAACUGUUACUCUGGAGUGUGGGAGAGGUAGGUGGAAUUCUUGGUGUAGCGGUCAUAUCCGUAGAGAUCACGAGG
rnacentral:rRNA from 1 species